AAGUGAGAAUGCCGGAAUGAGUAGCGCGAAUGCAGUGAGAAUCUGCAUGGCCGAAAGCCUCAGGUUUCUGGAGGAAGGUUCGUCCGCUCCAGGUUAGUCGGGAGCUAAGGUGAGGCCGGAAGGCGUAGCCGAUGCACAGACGGUAGAGAUUCCGUCACCACCAAAAGAGUUAAGCACAGGGACACAUAUGAAGUCUCAGAGCCGGGUGUUGGUUCCGGUAGAGAUCGAGGGAAAUUAGUACCGAAGUCUGAGAUGGAAGAUGGCGAGAAAAGCUGUGUGUAUUUCUGAGGUGCCCGUACCGCAAACCGACACAGGUAGGUAGGAAGAAGAUUCUAAGGCCAACGGGAGAAGGGUUGUUAAGGAACUCGGCAAAUUGACCCCGUAACUUCGGGAGAAGGGGUGCUCCAGAGAUGGAGCCGCAGAGAAUCGGCCCAAGCAACUGUUUACCAAAAACACAGGUUUGUGCUAAAUCGAAAGAUGACGUAUACGAGCUGACGCCUGCCCGGUGCUGGAAGGUUAAGAGGAGAUGUGCAAGCAUUGAAUCGAAGCCCCAGUGAACGGCGGCCGUAACUAUAACGGUCCUAAGGUAGCGAAAUUCCUUGUCAGGUAAGUUCUGACCCGCAUGAAAGGCGUAAUGAUUUGGGCACUGUCUCAACAGCCCGCCCGGCGAAAUUGUAGUACCGGUGAAGAUGCCGGUUACCCGCGACAAGACGGAAAGACCCCAUGGAGCUUUACUGUAGCCUAAUAUUGGGUUUCGAUGUUGCAUGCACAGGAUAGAUGGGACUCUUGGAAACCAAGGCUUUGGCUUUGGCGG
rnacentral:rRNA from 1 species